UUACGGCCACAUGACGUUCAAAACACCAGUUUCCUUACAAUCACCGAAGUUAAGCAACGUCGAGCCUGGUCAGUACAUAGAUAAGUGACCACUUGAAAAUAACAGGUGCUGUAAG